CGUGAUUUUUUGAGCUUACAAGCAUUGUGUUAUUUAUGUAUGGCAUGAAUCAGUGUUUAAAGUUUAAUUUGAACAGCACUGAGAAGUGAACAAAUUUAUCUACGCUGGAUAUUUUAAUUAGAGUUCUAUCCAUUUAAUCCUGGAUUAUAAUGAAUUGUCAUGUAGAUAGUUUAAUUUCAAUAGUCUAAUUUUGAAUUAGAUGACAACUUAAUUGGCCGGAUGUAGUUUGGGUUAAUUGUUAUGUUGGGGACUUGUUUAGAGAGAGUUUCUAAACGUCAUAGCGGCUUACGACCAAAUUGGACAAAAGUCACCCAAUAUCUUUCAAGUACAAGCACAGAGUUUGUAAGUACUGAGAACACAAGUGACUCUUAUUGGUACUAAUUAGUAGUUUAUUGUCUUAUGAGUGAAACAAUAAAAGCAAUUAGUUAAGUACCAGAACUAAUUAGUGAAGCACCAUAAAUACUUAGUUAGUUAAAUGAACUAAUUAGUUAAGCACUAAAACUAAUUAGUUAAGUUAUCAAAUGGGUCUUUUCAGUAAGCGGUCUUACGCAAAAGUUAUCGUUUGGUAUAAACAAACUAAUUCAAUACCAAUAUGAGUCAUUUGUGUCCAAAAUGGAUACAAGCCCCUUUUGACGUAGACUUCCACACUUUCCGAUAUCCUUUCAUGGCAUUGGGAGAAUAAACAAAUUAACAAAUAGUGUCCGUGAUCUAUAUUAGUAUUGCACUUUGUUGUGGGUUCAGCCCACUUGUUGCACAAGUCAGUUGUUUAUCUUGUGUUUGUGUGUCCAAAAUAUUUGGUUAUGUUUUUAGUCCAUUUGGGGCUAAAUUGGUUGGCUUAUCUUGAAAGUCUUAGAGUGUGUUUUUUUAUGAGAGUUGUGACCUAAGAGGAGUUAGGUAAACUGUAACGAAAUCAUAUCAAAAACACACGGAAAAGGAGAGGAAAUAGAAGAGAAGAGCAGUUCGAAGUCUAGACAUUCAUUACAAACAACGGUCGGAUUGUACUGAUUUUGGGGCAGCUUGUUGGGGAUACAUAGGGCCCCACAGAGGUGAAAGUUCGGCUUUUCGGUUUGGAUUAAGGCCCAAACCGAAUCAAAACCGAACUAAUCCAGUUUUCAUUUUUUGAAACCAAACCCAAACCUAAUAACCUUUUAAUCCAAACAAAACCAAACCAAAUCGGAUUUUUAAUUUUUAGUCCAAUCCAAACCAUAAAACUGAAUUUUCAUGGAACUUUCAUCUGGGCCUGCUUUUGGGCCUAUAUUAUACCUGUUUUAGAAAAUUUUCGUGCCCUUAUUAUAUUGUUUAGCCAAGUUCGGUUUUAGUUCGAUUUAUUCAGUUGCAGAGUUUUUAGUCCAAUCCAAGCCAUAAAACCAUUUUUUUUUAAAAAUCUCAGUCCAAACCGAACCGUUAUAUUCGGUUCGGUUCGGUUUUCGGUUUUUUGCUACAAAACUUUCACCCCUAGGGCCACAUUUUGAACGGUUGGAUCGUUGUUCCGAGUUCUGGCUUGUCUGUGGUCUCUUGUGGACAAGAACCUACAACAACCUAGCAAUCAACCAAUAAUGUACAACAACAAAUAAUCUAAUGCUGAAGAACAAAAUGCAAUCAACAUACACGAAUGAUACUUGGAAAAUCUUUUCGAUGUGAAGAUUAAACACGAACAAACUAAAGCUCAAAACAACGAUCCAAUUUCGUAGGUUCUGUCCAGCAGCAACCAGGACAAACCAGAUCUCAAAACAACGAUCCAACCGUAAAAAUGAGAGUCAUAUGUAUCCCCAACAAGCUGACCUAAAAUCAGCACGAUCCGACCGUUGAAACUCCGGCAAACGACAGGUUUGUGAUGACUGUCCUGAAAACUCCGAAAUACUCUUUUCUUUCUUCUUCUUUUGUGUGUGUUUUUGGUAUGAUUUUCUUACAGCUGACCUAACUCCCCCUUAGGUCAUAACUCUCAUCAAAAAACACUCUAGCUUUCAAGAUAAGUCAACUCAUUUAGCCCCAAAUGGACUAAAAACAUAACCCAACAUUUUGGGCUCACAAACACAAGAUAUGACUUAGCUUGAUGCACAAGAGUCUGUUUGUUUUGUGUGAUGCAGAUUGGUAGGCAGUAAGCACUACAUUCCUUUGAGUUUCCGAGUGUUGCCAAUGUGGGUUAGUUGCUCAUUUUUUUGGUAAAAUUGCUAGAUGUUUACUAGUAAGGCUUUUUGUAAUGUGUUUGUUUUCUAGAAGAGGCUUAGAUUUUGGCUAGUCACUGGAUUCACUCCAAGUCCAUGACAGGGAAUGGAUAUGAUGGUAAUAAGUAAAAGGUCUGAGCAGGAUAUAUAGUUUAGGGUGAUACUCAAAUUUGAAGAGGGCCCCUGUCCUUGCAUGAGUUGCACUGUGACAUUCGCAACCUCUUCCACAUCAAACUGUGCCAAGCAUCAGCUUGGUAUUUAGGUGCUUGGUAUUUGGGUUGAAUUAAAAGGCUUGGGGCUGCAUUCUAGAAUUGAAUGCCAGUCUAGACUUCGCCCUACAUUAUUAUACCCUUCUAUAUUUCCUGCACUUGAUCACAAAUCUUUGCUCUGAUCCUUCCCUGAUUGGAGAUCAUGUCCACUAGUUUUCGUGUAGGAUUGUUUUUCCCUUCAUUUAAAUGGCUAUCCCCGUUUUUUUGGCCUUUGGAUGAUGACUGCUAACCUGUUCAACUAACCCUUUAAAGGCAAGUCUAUAUAUCUGAAGCUAUUGCAUAUGUUACUGCAUGAUGAGUUUCAGUAUUUUGUUGUAGCCCAUCGAAAGCAAAGUUGGAAAGCGAUCUUUGUUUUACUUCUAUUGUGCUGAUGAAUUUCUAAUGCCUAGAAUAUUUGGUUUUGUUAUGUGAGUUGCUGGUGAUACCUUGAACUUUUUUAGGAUACAAUUGCCUUUUCCCUAUGUUUUCUUUUUUUUUAUUAUUUUAGCAGCACUCUAGCAAGUUUGAACUUUGAAGGCAAUGUAAAAGUGCUCCUCCGUCUGUUAAAUGCACUACAGCAGAGACCAAUAUGGAGUGUAAGUUAUUGUUGAAGUUUGAGCAUUUGGAUUUGAUUGAUUGAGUUGUAUGGAUACAGCAUACAUGCCUUAGACAUUUGCUAGGUGUUAUACAUAAGUUGUUCAUUCAUGAAACUGAUGCACAUAUUGUGAGAAAGUUCAAUUAGGCUCUGCGUAUGCGAAUCUUAAUCUUGGUAUGUUUUUGUUCCUCCUACUCUGGAUGAUAUGUCUGUUCUACUUUGUCAGUUUUUCUGCUUCUGCUCUCUUUUGUGAGUCUUCCUAGCCCUUAAUAAAGAUGGGCCGUGGGCCGGGCCAGCCUGGCACGGGUACUAAAAAAGCCCGGUACAGCAUGAAGUCAUGGGCCGUGGGCCGGGCUCGUGUUGCAUUUUUUGGAAAAAGCAUGACAAGACAUGACUUAGCUUGAUGCACAAGAGUCUGUUUGUUUUGUGUGAUGCAGAUUGGUAGGCAGUAAGCAGUCACGUUCUUUUGAGUUUCCGAGUGUUGCGAAUGUGGUUUAGUUGCUCAGUUCUUUUGGUAAAAUUGCUAGAUGUUUACUAGUAAGGCUUUUUGUAAUGUGUUUGUUUUCUAGAAGAGGCUUAGAUUUUGGCUAGUCACUGGAUUAACUCCAAGUCCAUGAAAGGGAAUGGAUAUGAUGGUAAUAAGUAAAAGGUCUGAGCAGGAUAUAUAGUUUAGGGUGAUACUCAAAUUUGAAGAGGGCCCCUGUCCUUGCAGGAGUUGCACUGUGACAUUCGCAACCUCUUCUACAUCAAAUUGUGCCAAGCAUCAGCUUGGUGUUUAGGUGCUUGGUAUUUGGGUUGAAUUAAAAGGCUUGGGGCUGCAUUCUAGAAUUGAAUGUCAGUCUAGACUUCGCCCUACAUUAUUAUACCCUUCUAUAUUUCCUGCACUUGAUCACAAAUCUUUGCUCUGAUCCUUCCCUGCUUGGAGAUCACGUCCACUAGUUUUCGUGUAGCAUUAUUUUUCCUACCAUUUAAAUGGCUAUCCCCAUUGUUUUGGCCUUUGGAUGAUGACUGCUAACCUGUUCAACUAACCCUUUCAGACAAGUCAAUAUAUAUCUGAAGCUAUUGCAUAUGUUACUGCAUGAUUGGUUUCAGUAUUUUGUUGUACUGUUGUAGCCCAUUGAAGCAAAGUUGGAAAGCGAUCUGUGUUACUUCUAGUGUGCUGAUGAAUUUCUAAUGCCUCGAAUCUUUGGUAUUGUUAUCGCUCUAGCGAGUUUGAAGGCAAUGUAAAAGUGCACCUCCAUCUGUUAAAUGCAGUAUAGCAGAGGCCAAUAUGGAGUAAGUUAUUGUUGAAGUUUGAGCAUUUGGAUUUGAUUGAUUGAGUUGUAUGGAUACAGCAUACAGCAUACUACAGGCCUUAGACAUUUGCUAGGUGUUAUACAUAAGUUGUUCAUUCAUGAAACUGAUGCACAUAUUGUGAGAAAGUUCAAUUAGGCUCUGCGUAUGCGAAUCUUAAUCUUGGUCUGUUUUUGUUCCUCCUACUCUGGAUGAUAUGUAUGAUCUACUUUGUCAGUUUUUCUGCUUCUGCUCUCUUUUGUGAGUCUUCCUAGCCCUUAAUAAAGAUGGCCGUGGGCCGGGCCAGCCUGGCAUGGGAACUAAAAAAGCCCGGUACAGCAUGAAGUCAUGGGCCGUGGGCCGGGCUCGUGUUGCAUUUUUUGGAAAAAGCAUGACAAGACAUGACACGACCCAACACGACAAAGCAUGCUACAUAUAGCAAAAUUAGGCUUAGGCACGAUGGUCCGACCUAGCACGACAGCUAGUGGACCUGGGACGGACUUGGAUAUUGUUUUAAACUUUUCAGCCCAGCCGGCACAAUACAGAGUGGGCAUGACGUGGGCCCGGCCCAGCCUACGGCCAUCUUUAGUCCUGAAUACAAACACUGCUACUUUCAUGUGAAGGUAGCCAGUGUGCCCGAGGAGCAGAGGAGGUUCAUAGCUGGGUCAGGCUGUGGAGGUGGAGCCUUGGCUAGAUUGAUUAAGCAACCGGGCUGCUGAGCUAAGCUGGUUUGCGCGCUGGCUCAUGUGAGCCGGUGUCAUUUGCUCACAUAUUCGUUUAAAAAGCUGGGGCUAACCGUUUAUGGAGGCGCUCUUGAAAAUUCCAGACAAAUAUUCUAGUAACCAAGGUGAUUAAUGUACUCCGUAUAUUGGUGAUGUUUUGAUAAUCCAACAUGUUAUUGUGUUAUUGAUGAUAAUUGAUCUUGCACUUC